AUGGAUUACAAUCUUAUCACUGGAAAUAUACCACGAACAAUUGGUAAUUUGCAGAGCUUGGUCCAUCUAUCCUUUGCACAUAACAAACUGUCAGGGCAAAUCCUGGAUACUAUUGGUAAUCUGGUUAAGCUAAAUUCUCUGAAAUUGGAUGGGAACAACAUUAGCGGAAGGAUACCUGCAAGUAUAGGACGCUGUACUCAACUCCAAAUACUCAACCUUGCUCACAACUCGCUAGAAGGGAAUAUACCAAGUGAAAUCUUCAAAAUUUCUUCGCUUUCUGAAGAGUUGGACUUGUCACACAAUUACCUAUCUGGGGGAGUACCAGUGGAAGUUGGCAAUCUCAUUAUUGUGAACAAAAUUAGCAUAUCAAAUAACAGGUUGUCCGGCAACAUCCCAUCCACUCUUGGCCAGUGUGUGGUUCUGGAGUACUUAGAUAUUUCUCAGAACAAUUUGUCCGGAAAGAUUCCACAGUUCCUCACAUCCUUAAGUUCCCUGCAAAAUCUCAACUUAUCCUUCAACAAUUUUGAUGGGGAGGUUCCGAGAGGUGGUAUUUUUUACAAUGCUAGUGCAGUGUCAAUUGAAGGAAAUGAUGAUUUGUGUACCAGCAUUCCAACAGAAGGUAUACCUCUUUGUUCCACACUAGCUGACAGAAAAGGAAAACAAAAUUCCUCGGCUCUAGUCCUACGGAUAGUAACUCCAAUAGUUGCUGUUGUUAUAUUAAUUUUGUCAUGCAUUGCGACAAUUUACUGGAGGAAGAGGAUGCAAGCAAAUCCACACUUGCAGGAAUUUGAUGAGCAUUUAAAGAAGAUAUCAUAUGAAGACAUUGUAAGGUCAACAAAUAGGUUUUCUCCAGAAAACCUAAUUGGAUCAGGAUCAUUUGGAGUGGUUUACAAGGGCAGUCUGAAGCUUCAGAAAGAUCAAGUUGCCAUCAAGAUUUUCAACCUUAACAAUUGUGGAGCAAAUAGGAGCUUUAUUGCAGAAUGUGAAGCCCUGCGAAAUGUCCGUCACCGAAAUCUUGUAAAGAUCAUCACUUCAUGUUCUUCUGUGGAUUCUACUGGGGCAGAUUUCAAGGCCCUGGUGUUCCGGUACAUGCCGAAUGGGAACCUAGAAAUGUGGCUACAUCCAGAAGACCUUGAACAUGGUGAGAGACAUAUCCUGACUUUAAGCCAAAGGAUCAAUAUUGGCUUGGAUGUAGCAUUUGCUUUGGAUUACCUUCAUAACCAAUGUGCAUCUCCAUUGAUACAUUGUGACAUAAAGUCAAGCAAUAUUCUUUUGGAUCUUGAUAUGGUUGCGCAUGUCACUGACUUUGGCCUGGCAAGGUUUCUAUUGAGCGCAUCAAAUGCAUACAAAGAUAGUUCAAGAAGUCUAGCCUGCCUAAAAGGAUCCAUCGGAUACAUCCCACCAGAGUAUGGCAUGAGCGAGGAGAUAUCAACCAAGGGUGAUGUCUACAGUUUUGGAGUGCUUCUGUUACAAAUGAUAACAGGGCGAAGUCCAACUGACGAAAAAUUCAGCGAUGGUGCAAGCCUUCACGAAUUUGUUCGUAGAGCAUUUCCAGAUAAUAUCUGUGAGGUUGUUGAUCCAACAAUGCUACAAGAUGACAGCAACGCACCGGAAGUGAUGAAGAACUGUGUCAUUCCAAUGGUUAAAAUAGGCCUCUCCUGCUCCAUGACAUCGCCCAAAGAACGGCCGGACAUGGGACAAGUUUCUGCCGAGAUCUUUAGAAUCAAGCAUCUGGCCUCACACAUGGAUGUCAGAUGA
rnacentral:rRNA from 1 species